AUUGACCCAAUCGGCAAUAUUAAUAAUUUAGAUAUGUUUAGAGCUGAAAACAACAUUGUUGUUACCAUUUCUUUUCCAUCAGAUCUGGGUUCUAAUAAUAGAAGGGCCUGGCCCCUAUAAAAACCAUAAGAGUAGUCCAUUUUAGGGUUGAUCACACAUGUGAAAUUGUCUCACACCACAAGUCAGCACCCUUAAUGUAGAGGUCUAUUUUGAAUGGAGAUAAUAUAUAUACGUAACAACCAACAUUUAGGGAAGGUUAUGUCAGGAGUAGAGAAGCAUACGGUGAAUGUUGAAGCCAAGAGGAAGAGUGGGCAGCCACUAAGAUGUUUUAUCACCACACACCACGACUUGGAAUCCCCAUAUAGACAAUGACUUUGUGACAGAACUAAAUAAAUGGGGAUCAUCUUUUAGAUCAUACAGUUCAAGGAGAUCAAUUGGGUGUUUGCCACGUACUAUCGUAGACAAAUGAAGGUGAUUUGUAGUGAGACUUGGUUGGAUACAACAAAUGUCAAUUAGACAAGGGAUUUGACUUGCCAUAUUCAACCAUUGAGCCAGUAAACAAAUAAAUAAUUAUGACUUGGCUCAAUUCAACAAACAAAUUAAUAUAAUUAGGGAGGAUUAAAGUAUUGGAAAUUAUGAAAAUGAUAGAAUUAAGAGGAGUAAUAAGACAAAUAAUGCAAUAAAUAUGCCAGAAAGCCCUAACUUAGAGCCCAAUGUAGUAUCCUUUUUGUUUGUUUCUUUCUUCUUGCCUAUCUUCAAGUCUUCCAAAAAUAUGCUAACACCAGGAUCUCUCAUCUUUACUUCACUACCAAGCAGUAUGGAAUUGUUUACCACUUGAAUAUUGUUGUUUACAUAAAUGUUAAUGCAGCAACUAUCUUGUGUCUCACCUGUAUGAGCUCCAUGGCGUAUGGUCAUUGCAGCCCCAACAUUACUUCCCUCCAAGGUGACACGAUCGAACGAGCCAUAGCUGGUUUCUGAGGCCAUGAGGUGUUAUGAUUGAUCUUGAUAAGUUAAUAAUUGCAAGCCAUGAAUGUCGUGAGAGAGGGGAGUAAGUCACAGUUGAUUUCCCAGACUCCUCUUUGCUUGCCUUCUAGGUUAUGCAAUUUGAGUUUUCCCCCUGCCACAGCUAAAAGUGAUGUUCGCCUGGAAUGACUUCAGACACGAUAUAGUGUUUCUCGUAUAGCUUAAGCCGUUUGGGAAUGAGCAGAUCUAUCUCCAUGCAGCAUUUAACACAUCAAAUUGGGGGAAGAAUAAAAAGAAAAUUGUGAUUUGAUGAAGCUUAGGGCUGCUCUCAAGGGCUAAUACAAACCCAAGACUCGACCUAACAAUAGUUUUACAGGAACCUAUGAGAUAAUUUAAUGCAAUUGAUUCUUGUACUUAAUACUCCAACAAAAUAUUCUUUUUAUUUUGAAAACCCAGUUGAAAAACUAAUUACUCUAUCCCAACUUGCACAAGUGCCCAUAAUAUUUCUAACAAUCGUACAACUCAAAAGCAAUUUAAGUAUUAUCGACAUCAUUAUUAUUUCCUAUGGAGUUCCCUUGGAAACUGGUUAUGCUUUGAAAACCUAUGAUGCCAAGGCUUGGAAUUUAUUAGUAAUACCAAAAACUCUACAACAGAUAAAGAUGUGGCUGUCAUAAACAGUUAUCAAGAUCCCAAUCAUCAAGCAAGGUUAUUGAGAUGAAUAUAUGUUCCAUCAUUAGCAGGAGAAACAAGAUUCUUGCAUUCUAGGUCUUUCCAUUCUCUCAAGAAAUUGAAGGCCAUUGCCCAUUCAUUCCAAAUUUUCCAAACAAGCAGCGGACCAGAAACAUUUGGAAAUGAAAGAAGACCCAAAGAACUUAUGGAAAAGCAUCUGGGGAUACCCUUUCACUGACUGUAGAACCAAAUUGUGGCCCACCCUUGCGAUAUGAGAUAAGAAACUCAACAGGGUAUCCCUUCAACUUAUGUGGCACAAUCCCAAGAUCAUGAAAUGUUAAAGCAUUGUCUGACACCACUAUAUCCUUAGUAAGUGCAUUGAUCUCAUCCAAAUUGAAUAUGUUGGGAGUCGGCAACGGGAAUGGAACCUUGUUUAAUAGUACUUCUCGUGGUGUUGCAAGCAGCUUCGCAAUGGGGAAUGGAACUUUGACAUAGCGAGGCCAUUCACGAAUCGUGUCGAACAUAAGCUCUGCCAAUUCAUGCAUAGUAAAGAUUUCUGGUCCACCAAGCUCAUAAACUUUUCCCAUGCUGGUUCCAUCAUCUUUCAGGGCUGCAACAAUUGCAGCAGCUACAUCAACAACAUAUACAGGUUGAAUUCUGCAAAGAAGAAAUUGUUAGGAAAACAUCCACAAGAAGUGCAGGAAAAGAUGUAUGUUCUUUCCACAUAGGCAACUGAUGCAAUAAAGACUCACUUAGUAGAUCCAUCUCCAAUCAAGGGGAGAAAUGAAUAUUUUUUUACAAAAUGCGCCCACCGGUUCAUAAUUCGAUCCUCUGUACCAAUCAUAACAGCAGGUUUCAUGACUGUGGCCUACAGAAGUUGGUGUUGGUUAGAAACUUGGCGGUUGAUACUUGCAGUGGUAACAACCACAGCAAAGGGAAAAUAUGGCGGUACAAAAUUUAAGAGUAUGCAGCGAUGUUUCUUUGAUCUUAAUCAUUAACUAAAUUUCUCUACCUAUUGUACAUUUUUGAACUCUUGGAAGCUACUUAAGAAAACUUUUUGUUUUUUUGGUUGUGCCUCCUUCCUGGCCCAUUCAAAAAUUACACACACUUAUAUUCAUCAUUCAAGAAAAUCAUUGAAUAGCAAAUGCAUCGAUUUGUUAAAUUACAUAGUGUGUCAUCAUCUAGAACACCAUUAAGCUUGUGUGGUUUCCUAAAAAGCCACAAGCUCUAUAGUCUGAAUAAAAUAAUUAAGGGUUAAAAGUUUUAAAAGAAUGUUAUAAUAAGCAUCAGCAAGAAGAAAUAAAUCAAUUUUAGAUCCCAAACAAGUUUAUGCUGCACACAAGUAAAUUGAAGACAUAAGAUCAGAGAAACCCACACCCCACCAAGUUUUCUGUUUUGAAUGUAAGGAAAAAGUUAGAGAAAAUAAUAUUGCUGAUAAUUAUCACUUCAUACAGUGGAAGAGUGCUACCAACUCCAACAUGACAUGAUAAAGAAAUUUUCAUAAACAAUAUUAUAAAUGUAAUCUCCUUAUGAUUUUGAGAAUACUUGGAAAAAAUCAAUAUCAAUUAAUUUAAAAUAAAAAAAAAACUUGGAAGCAGGCAAAAUUUAACAAUAUCCAACUAACUUUUGACAUUUCCAAAAAUGUUAGUGCUUGCACAAUACCCUUACAUACUGUACAAGGAAGGUGGAUGGGAAGGAUGAGUGAAAGCAUGAGAAUGGAAUGGAAAAGAUAUUAAAAGGAACUUCUCUUUCAAAAUACUUUUCUUUCCAAAAGUCAGCAGAAAGAGGGAGAAAACCAUACUGCAUUGUUUUUCUUUUGAAUACAUUCUUUUCUUGAUUUCUUCCUUAUACUUUCCUUUCGUUGAAAGAAAAAGAGGGAAAAACUUCCCUUCCCUUACCUUUCAUAUAAUUUUUCUCUUCUUUCCUUUCUUUCCACCAUGUAUAAUGUAAGCAUAACCAAAAGGCUCCAUUCCUCAGGCAUAAUGCACUAUGCUCAUUGUUUCAUCAGUGUCGAUAUUUGGUUCCACCAUUGGAUUUAAAGUUAAACAACAGCUUCCUAGUCCCAUCUCCUUCAUGCCCAAUUCCAUUCAUAAAAAUAUAUUGUUCAUGGCACUAUUCGGCCUUGUAAAUCAUAAAGAAGAGAGAAAAAAUGGUUGGUGGCCCAUAGCAAACCAGAACUAUAAAUUACCUCAGGCAGUUCUCUUAACACAGCUUCUUCUGCAGCAGCUUUAGCUCUUAGCAUCCUUGAUGCAGAUGAAGGCGAUGCUCCUAAGCAUGAAACUUGAAUAUAUCUCAUGAUACCUCCAUGUUCUUUAGCAAUCAUUGCAAGUUGUUCAGCCAUCGCAUGGUUCACUUGCUCAAAACUGUAGUUUCUUGUCUCAUAUUCCCUUCCAAUAAGAUUAAUAACAACAUUGGCCUUUGCCAUAACAGCCUUAAUUGAAUUUUCAUCUCUUGGUUCAUACUUCAUUGGUACGAUCUGACCCAAAUCACCCAUCAAUUUGAGAUGGCGAUGACAAUCCUCAGAACCUCGGAAAGGAACUAACACUUGAGAUCCCAUUUUAGCAAGUUGCUGCACAAGGUAACGACCAAGGAACCCAGUAGCUCCAAACACUGUAGCAAUAAUGCCACUAACAGAAGAUCUUCCACCAGUACCCUUGCGAACGAGGUGGCCCACACCUUUGGGAGCGAGAGUAGAUCCAUACCGUGGGUGAUCAGCUCCAUAAUAGAGCGGGUUAAUUGAUUUGAGAGACGCAGUUGAAGCUGCGGGAGAGAUAGCCUGGUGACCUAAUCGUCUCGAAAUCGCCUGCAUCGUUCACACUUCAGAGCCGCACAGAGAGAGGGAGACAGAGA
rnacentral:misc_RNA from 1 species